GGGGUUAUAGCUCAAUGGUAGAGCACUUACCUAGUAUGUGUGGGGCACUGGGUUCAAUCCUUAGCACCA
rnacentral:tRNA from 1 species